rnacentral:antisense_RNA from 1 species
CGGCGCUUGAGGCUUUUUGCCUUAUGGCUGUGUUUUAGAAACUUAUGCAGAAAUGUUGUGAGGCANAAAGAUGAAAGCCCCGAGUCAAUUUUUCAAUUAACCCGAGGCUACACCGACGCCUAGACAACGUCAGCGUAGCCUCUUACCUGCUGAAAGGCAAGGAAGUGAAG